rnacentral:tRNA from 1 species
GAAAAGUAUUUAAAAGCUGCUAACUUUUUAUGAGUAUAUUAUGUACUACUUUAUUUAUAAAUUAGAGCUUAUAGCAUUUUGAUUUC